rnacentral:lncRNA from 1 species
AAACAAAUACAUACGAUAGUCUUUCCAAUAUGGAUUAAUUUACCUGACACUAAUAACACGAAGCUAGAGGAUAAAGUUGAAGACUUGGAGGCAAGAUCCAGGUUAUCUAAUUUGAGAGUGGUGAACUUGCCAGAAGAUGCUGAAAGAGGGGAUGCUUGUGCUUUCCUUGAAAAAUGGAUCCCAGACGUGUUAGAUUUGGCACCGCUAAAUUCAAAGUUUAUACUGGAGAGAGCUCACAGAAUCGGCCAGAGGAGGGAUGCAAAUGCCCCACCAAGAACUUUGAUCAUGAAAUUCCUAAACUACAGGGACAGGAUGGUUGUAACGAAGGCAGCCAGGGCAAAAAAACAGGUCCUAUUUAAAGACCAGCAGGUGAGAUUUUAUCCAGACUUGGCUGCAGGAGUGCACAAGCGGCAGAAGAUGUUCGAUAAUGUCCGUCAGAAACUACGGAACCUGGGGAUUCGGUAUGGCAUGCUAUUGCCGGCUAGGCUUCUGGUGACCUACAAGGACAAGUCGCACACUUUUGAGAACCCGUCUGCUGUGGAGAACUUCAUCGAGCGGAUUGCAAGAGAGGAGGGACAGGCUGAAUAACGUAACCUGUGGCUGCGACCGGCUAAAGGGCUAAUAUGGGCUAACUAUGUGCAGUGUGAUGUGCCCAUCCACCUGCAACACAAGCAGACAGGAAGGAGAGUCUCUGCACGCCAGGCAGAGGGCGCAAGGAGACCUGCAGCCUGCAGACAGUGUCCCUGCUGCAGAGACAACCAGGUGAGACAUUUGAUUCUCAUCUUUGUUCUUUCAAAUUGUUAAAAGUAUGUUGUUUAGUAAGAGGUUUACUGGAGCCUGACAUCCUCUCAUGUGUUGCUGAUCUUCUCCAGGUGCCAGUUUUAAAGCAAAAGCGGCAGUGCUCUCCUGCUUCUGCAGACCUUCCCCAGAAGAGGAAGCGGACCACUGUGGCCCCCAGCCCCCAGACCCCCACUGCUGCACUGCACCUUGACGGACCUCUAAAGAUACAGAACCGCUCAGUGGAGGAGUACCAGCACCUCUACCAUGAAGCUGUGGAUCACAUGCUGAGGUUCAAGAGUGGUCGUCUGCAUCCGUACAGUUUACAUCUGGGUCGUCGUAUCAAGCAGAAGCUGUGGGAGAGACUGGCCCGUCCCACGUCCACACAAUCAGUGGAUGAAGACGGACUGGUGCUGGUGGACGUUUCCUACGGGGUUGCUGUCCAUCCUCCGCUUUAUUACCUGGAUGUUUCCGGAGAGCCAACUCCGCCUGUCAGCAACCUGCAGGCAUAGCCUCCACCUGCAGAUUCCUGCAAACAGCUUCAGCCAAACCUCCACCUACAGCCUAUGUCAGCAACCUGCAGGCAGUGCCUCCACCUGCAGUUUCUUGUAGACAGCUGCGGCAAAACAUCCACCCACAUAAUCCCCACCUGCCGAUUAAGGCAGACAGCUGAGACAAAACCUCCACCUACAGCCUCUGUCCUCAACCUGCAACCACCACCUCCACCUGCAGGUUCUAGCAGACAGCUGAGACAAAACCUCCACCUACAGCCUCUGUCAACAACCUGCAACCACCACCUCCACCUGCGGGUUCUGGCAGACAGCUGAGACAAGACCUCCACCUACAGCCUCUCCCGGCAAUUUGCACGGCCAGCUUCUGUCCUAUUGCCAUGUGGAGACCUCAGCGAGGAUCGGAGAUACACACACACACACACACUAUGAUCUUUCAGUUAACAUACAAACACAUUUAUAGCUGCCUGGGCAGAUAGUUUAAAGCUGCAUUUCUGUUUAUGUUCGGUUUACUUCUUCUCCAGACCCUGUUAGACUUCACAGACUUCAAGAUCUACCAGAAGAUGAUCAAGGGCCGUCAGGACACUUUCCUUCUACACGGGCUGUGUACCAGAGAUGCUUCUUCCUCCUCCCCAUCCUGCACCUUCACCACCAACUCCGACCCUCCCUAUCUCAGUUCCACCAGUAGUUUCUCACCAAGCAGAAUAAUGGAGGUCUGAAGAAUGCAGAGAUGCUCCACCUGAGACUUCAGUGCCUUACUUUUCCAGCCAUGCUCCCUAAAAAAAGACGACCAGUUUGCACUUUUACUGUUUACUUCUGAUCCUUUGCACUGUUCAAUAAAGUUCAUCAUUAUCUGCAGUCAUCAGUUCAGUCAUUUCAGUCCACAGGAAUUGGAAUUAUGAUAAGUCACCCUAAUGAAUGGUUUAUAGGAAUAAUUUAAUAUCUUAUAAAUGCUCAUGUCUCUCUCUCUCUCUCUCUCUCUCUCUCUCUCUCUCUCUCUCUCUCUCUCUCUCUCUCUCUCUCUCUCUCUCUCUCUCUCUCUCUCUCUCUCUCUCUCUCUUUUUAGUAAGUAUUAAUAAAGGGUCUUGAGUUUUUCACUUUCUAAUAAGCCAUCAGAAAAAGC